rnacentral:rRNA from 1 species
UACGAAGGGGGCUAGCGUUGUUCGGAAUUACUGGGCGUAAAGGGCGCGUAGGCGGUUCUGUAAGUCCCGCGUGAAAUCCCCCGGCUCAACUGGGGAACUGCGCGGGAAACUGUGGGGCUAGAGUUCAGGAGAGGGAAGCGGAAUUCCGGGUGUAGCGGUGAAAUGCGUAGAUAUCCGGAGGAACACCGGUGGCGAAGGCGGCUUCCUGGACUGACACUGACGCUGAGGCGCGAAAGCUAGGGGAGCAAACGGG